rnacentral:rRNA from 1 species
GAUGAACGCUGGCGGCGUGCCUAAUACAUGCAAGUCGAGCGAACAGAUGAGGAGCUUGCUCCUCUGACGUUAGCGGCGGACGGGUGAGUAACACGUGGAUAACCUACCUAUAAGACUGGGAUAACUUCGGGAAACCGGAGCUAAUACCGGAUAAUAUAUUGAACCGCAUGGUUCAAUAGUGAAAGACGGUUUUGCUGUCACUUAUAGAUGGAUCCGCGCCGCAUUAGCUAGUUGGUAAGGUAACGGCUUACCAAGGCAACGAUGAGUAGCCGACCUGAGAGGGUGAUCGGCCACACUGGAACUGAGACACGGUCCAGACUCCUACGGGAGGCAGCAAUAGGGAAUCUUCCGCAAUGGGCGAAAGCCUGACGGAGCAACGCCGCGUGAGUGAUGAAGGUCUUCGGAUCGUAAAACUCUGUUAUUAGGGAAGAACAAAUGUGUAAGUAACUAUGCACGUCUUGACGGUACCUAAUCAGAAAGCCACGGCUAACUACGUG